AGCCUUAAAAUCCCAUCAGAUCUCAACAUGGGUCUGAGUGGCUAUAAAAGGAGGGAAAGUCUCACUGAAGCGGACUUGGAUUCUUUUGUGACAUCCAAGUUUGUUUCAAAUAAAA
rnacentral:snoRNA from 1 species